AAUGCCUUGCAGGUAUAGUCCUCGUGUGAUUUUGAUUCAUCCAUUUGGAAGUCAGAACCGGAACUCCUCACUGAGCUAAGUAGGGUGAUGAGUUUUAAGUGAGCUUUACGUGUUCUAACGCAUACCCAGAUGGUCUAACAGUUUGACUCUGGAGUCAGCGGUGAUAAUGACAGAUUCCAAGACUCUCCGUUCCCCGUGUUCUUGGAUUAUUCCCGUGGUGAUGUGAUCCUGCGCUCAGAAGUUUGGACAGUGGCCUCCUGUUUCCCCAGCUUUCUGACUGGCAGAUGUCUCUGGAUUGGCUAGAACACCUGCAGGUGUCUCCUAUGGCUGGCGGCUGGAAUCUGGCUUUCAUCGGUGCUAAAGACCCAACCUCAGGAAGCAAAAAGAAUCAGGUGUUGGAGCCUAGCAGUCCUGAACCCUAUUUUGUUCAGAUGGCGAGGAACAGGCAUUCCUGAGGACUGCAUCCGUGGCAGCUGAUGUGUCCAAUUUAGCCCCAGAAGGGAAAGGGUUCUCUUUCCUCUACAAUUUGGAGGUGCAGGGGUUUGGGAAAGAUGAGCUAACCCAUUUGCGUUUCACCAUCUGUAAAAUGAGAAUGAAAGUAUCCACCUUGGGCCAGUGAGAUGGCUCGGUGAGUGAAAGUCACUUGUCACUAAGCCUGAAGACCUGAGCUUCCAUCCGUAAGAACUGACUCACUGUAGGUCGUCCUCUCCCCUCCAGCCGUGCACCACGGUGCUCAUAUGCACCCAAGCACUCACAUCCCACACUAAAUAAGUAAACCAACAAACACAAUGGUGAAAGUAAUCUACCCCGGAGACCUCUUGGGCCUUUGCUGUUCUGGAAUCUCUGUUCGUUGAACAUCAGGUGGUUACACAGCUGGUUCUCCUUUUGUAAUAUUAAAGCACAACAUGAUUAAGCUGACCUUGUCACCUAAGGGUUCACCCAAGUGAAGUUCACCUCGUCAGAGUGCAAGGACAUUCUCAGAUCCUUGCCACUGCUCCAGCUCUGGGGCUCCCAGGGUAGCUUCUGAGCCCCACACAAAGCCAAGGCACCGUCCCUGGGAAGUUAGGAUGAAGAGCACCAUCCAAGUCCACCUUCCACCACGGAUAUCGGCUCACAGCAAAACGUCAGCCCAUGGAGCUGAGCCCUUCCUUACACGUGUGGGGUGCUGCACCUGCCCCCCACCCCAGGCCUCCCGCACAGUAUCCCAGCACCGGGGUGACCUCCGGCACCCUCGUUACCACCAGGUCCAACGCACUUGACCACCUGUCCAUCCAGAGCUGAGUAGCCGUCCCAGCCUCCCACACUGCUUAUGGCGGGUCCAGCAGGCUUUCCACACCCCACUCCUAGCUGACUGGACUGGACCAAGUUAAAUGCUCUUCCCUUCAUUAUCCAAAAGAGUUUUAUUCUGACUGAAGUGAACAAUGUGGAGGAGCACAACUGAGCCCUGGCGCAGGAUGAGAAGUUUCUUAUAUCUAAAGAGCUGCACUUCAAAGGU
rnacentral:sRNA from 1 species